UACAGAGGGUGCAAGCGUUAAUCGGAAUUACUGGGCUUAAAGAGUUCGUAGGCGGCGCAGAAAGUAGGGUGUGAAAGCCCUCGGCUCAACCGAGGAAUUGCGCUCUAAACUACUGUGCUCGAGGAACCUAGAGGUGAGCAGAACUGAUGGUGGAGCGGUGAAAUGCGUUGAUAUCAUCAGGAAUACCGGAGGCGAAGGCGGCUCACUGGGGGUUUUCUGACGCUGAGGAACGAAAGCCAGGGGAGCGAACGGG
rnacentral:rRNA from 1 species